UACGUAGGGCGCAAGCGUUAUCCGGAAUUAUUGGGCGUAAAGAGCUCGUAGGCGGUUUGUCGCGUCUGCCGUGAAAGUCCGGGGCUCAACUCCGGAUCUGCGGUGGGUACGGGCAGACUAGAGUGAUGUAGGGGAGACUGGAAUUCCUGGUGUAGCGGUGAAAUGCGCAGAUAUCAGGAGGAACACCGGUGGCGAAGGCGGUUCUCUGGGCAUUACCUGACGCUGAGACGCGAAAGCGUGGGGAGCGAACAGG
rnacentral:rRNA from 1 species